UACGUAGGGUGCGAGCGUUAAUCGGAAUUACUGGGCGUAAAGCGUGCGCAGGCGGUUCGUUGUGUCGGCGGUGAAAGCCCCGGGCUCAACCUGGGAAUUGCGCGCGAAACGGGGGGGCUUGAGUUCGGGAGAGGAGCGUGGAAUUCCCAGUGUAGAGGUGAAAUUCGUAGAUAUUGGGAAGAACACCGGUGGCGAAGGCGGCGCUCUGGACCGAGACUGACGCUGAGGCGCGAAAGCGUGGGGAGCAAACAGG
rnacentral:rRNA from 1 species